rnacentral:lncRNA from 1 species
GAAGUGAACAUACCUAGAGAUGCAUGUUUAGGCAGGAGAUAGUCUACAAUAUGGCCUUGUUCUUAGAACAUUAGAGAGAUGGAGUUUUUCUCAGCAUGCUAAAAACGGUAUGCAGAUGAAGAGAAAAUACUAGGAAGUAAACUGCUGGUCACUGUUUCUGCAAAAAGGCACCUAAAGAUCUCUAUGUUGGACAUCAAGUUACAAUCAAGUUACCGACAGAAGUAAUGGAUUGAAGAUUAAAUGAUUUAAUCAAAACCAUCUAACUCUUGACAAUUCUUUCAUCAUCAAGAAGGCGGGGGAGGAGAAGUGUGAAAAGCGU